CUGACUACUGCUACUAAGCGUCAACACGUUCACAACGGAUUCCGUGGUUCCGUCGUCUUGUGAAAGCGCUUGGACCGUGGUGUGUUGGGCUUCCGGCACGCUCGCUGCCAGCUUUGCGUCAGAGCAUUUUGUACAGUGCAGUUUGCGAGUGGGGCCCUUUUCCAGCGACACAUUGUGAAUCGCUCACAAGCCUCCGCUCGCUCAUGACAGCUUUUCGCGCACUGACGCCAAUGAUCGGUACGCUAUGCGCAGGUUUAUUUUCCCUGAAUACGUCCCUUUCCUUAUAAAUACAGAGCGGUUAGUUACGCGUGACGUAUAUGAUAGGAGCCGGAAAAUUCAUGAGCAAUGAGGGUUAUCGUUAGUAAAUAUAAGGAAGAGGCCAUUGAAUGGCGCUGUGGUUGCGUCCAUCCAAACUUGGAAAACUAUGCCAUGUGAGCACUGUUGACGUUUCAGAUGAGUACCGGCUGGCUGGAGGUUAUUCCUGUGCGCAAGGCCGAGUCGAACUCAGACCCCUCAGCGGCACUUGGGGCUAUGUCUGUGACGACUCGUGGGAGGAUGUGGACGCGUCAGUUGUCUGCCGAACAUUAGGAUUUAGCGGUGCAAGAGCACACUGCUGCUCCGCGUACGGUGCCGGAGGACCUGAGAACUUCUACAUGGAUGACGUCAAGUGCCGUGGCUCCGAGAGCCACCUGAAGAAUUGUCCUCACAACACCGUGGAUAACUGCAGCCGAGGAGAGGUGGCGGCGGUCACCUGCAGUGGUCCCCAGCAGAACGCCUGAGCCUGAGGCUACAGACUGAGGACUACAACGGCCAGCCUGGCGUUUGCUCGGAAUCAACAAAACAUAAGAUGUCUCACACCGAUGUGACAGAAACUGCUGCAUCCGGCAGCGAGCCUGAUAUCGAUCCACAGUUUUAGAGAGUGGUAAUGGCUUUGGCUCACUUCAGCAUCUUUCCAGGCUGCUGGGAGACUCAGAUCGGGUGCAAUGAUAGACAUAUAGAAAAGGCGAAAUACAAGGCUAUCCCCAUCUCA